GUGGUCAGUAAAUGUGUUUUUCCUCCUCCCCUCCUCCCUGAAGCCACAUCCUGAGGAGAGAGAAGGAAACAACAUCGACAUGGGCAAUUAGAGACCUGGCCACCCAACACAGCGUUUGGCUUCCUCGUCCCCCUCAAACCUUUAUGCCACCUCUCACUUUCAAAAGCCUCCGUUUGCAGCGACAGAUGGCUGUGUGUCUAAUUGCAUUAAUUGCAUCACACAGAACUGUACAUUUUUUACACGCGUGGUUGAGGACGUAAAUAGACUUUCACUAUGUCUGUGAUGUUCCUCCCUUCAUCUUGUGACUUGUCAUCCAUCUGCGUCGUCUCUUUCUUCCUCAGUCGCUCAACACUCUCUUCAUCUGAAAUAAGAUGCGCACCAGAUGCUCGCCAUUGUCUGGCGUGUGUGUGGAUGCUGAGCAAAAGGUGCUAUUUUUGAAAAAGCGCUUGAAGUAUUUUAGAAUCCCCAGCCAUUCAAGGUGAAGGAGGUCAAGCAUGGGCAGGAAUGUUGAUCAAGUCUUGAGUCUUUCGCAUCUCGUGUUGUUGUUUUUUUUCUCUCACAUGUUUUAUUUUUCCACCAACUCUCUUAUCAUCUCCCUCCCUUCACCUGUAGAUUUCUCUUAUUUUUUUUUUACCUCUUCACAUCACUCGCUGUCUGUCUGUUUGUCUGUUUUUCUGACUGUCUGACUGUCGGACUGUCUGACUGUUUGUCUGACUGUCUGUCUCUUUCUCUCUUUCUUUCUGAGAUUCUUUUAAAACCAUCAAAUUACUAAUGGUAUAUGUAACGUGUUUUGUUUCCCUUCAUUUGACAGUGGAUAAGUGCAGUGUGUGUUUGUCCGUCCGUUUGACACGGUUGUAGACGGAUGAUGAAGUACUUUCAUGUCAGGCAAACAAACAAAGAGCUAAAUCACAGGAGUUUGGGGGGACCGCAAAGACACUUCCUGCCAUGAGGGGGAAAAAAACAAAAGACCUUGUCUUGGGACCUUGUUGUCUCUGCCUCCACGUCUCCUUUUAUUCUUCUCCUUUCCACCUCCUCCCUCUCCUCUCUCUUUCCCUCCCCCUCUCUCUCUCUCUCUCUCUCUCUCUGAAUCUCUUGCCGUCUCUCUCCUUCUGUCUAUCUCUCUACUGUCUCUCUCAGCUCCUUCCAAAAGGCAGAAAGGCUGUUAUUGAG
ensembl:lncRNA